CGGAGGAAUACCAGGACCAGGUGCUGGCGCGCUCUCGCCUUCGGUGCCACCUCUGCGGCCUCCCCUGCUCGUUGUCACGGCAACUCAUUGAGCACCAACAUUCUCAGCACCCCCUGCCAUCUCCUCCCUGCAGUGUCCGCGGUGUUUCAUCACCUUCCGGGACCUGCAGACCAGCCUGCAGCACAUGCGCCUGCAGCACCCCGCUCUCUACGAGCGCCGGCUGCGGGCCCGCACCGUCUUCGCCCGCCGCCGCUGCGAACGCACCUUCCCCUCCUCCCGCCAGCUCUCCACCCACCAGCGAGCCCACCGCCAGGGCCAGGAAGCAGGCCGGGAGGAGGGGGAGGGGCGAGAGGAAGAACGCCAAGAUGCCCAGCUCACAUCGCCCUCCCUGCUUCCCCUUCCUGACCGGCACAAGUGCCCACACUGCAACUUCCUCUUCAGAGAUGCUAAGACCAAAAUGCGCCACAUGAACGUCAAGCACCCCGCAGGCUGCACCCUGCCCCCUCCACUGCUCUUCUCUACAGGAGACGAGGAGAGGGAGGAGGAGGAGGAAGUGGUGAUGGCGGUGCAGGUUAAAGAGGAGGAUGAGGGUGAGGUAAAGCAUGAGGAAGACGAUUUCUCCACAGCUCUCCGUCACCGUGGCAACCUGAAUCCAGCCUCACCGCAUCAGGGCGAGGGCAAGGAGGGCGUGGUCAGGGUGCCAAUCAAGCCUGAUGCAGGAGACGUGAGAACGAAAGAGGAGACGAUAGAGGGAGGUGGGGAAAAGAGUCUCAUGUGCAUCUGAGCAUUCAAUCUAGAAAUCAGGAGUCCUAGUUCUGCAAGACUUAUACCUUCUGAACAUUACACAACUUCAAAAAUUCUUUAAAAAUCCUAACGACGGAGAGCAUCUCAAAUUUCAUGUCCGUCUCUUGUAAAAAUCACUGAUAUCAUGCUUAAAUGGAGAUGUGUGCAUAUUUAUUUUCCUAGCUGCUCGUUUUCUCCUAACAUUUCUCCUAACAGGCUGCACACGCUGGAGCGGCCCUACCUCUGCCAGCGCUUCCAGAAAGAUGCUGGAAGGAAGAGCUGCCUCCAGCUGCGUAACUCACAGGAGUCACUGAUGCCGCCAGUGAGGGCGGGGCCUGAGGGGCGGAGAGGCCAGGAGGAAGAUGGCCCCCGUUCAGUUUGACACUUUGGGUUCUGACUUCUUCUUUUGUCUGUCUAUUUUGCAACGUCCAAACCAGAGACGAAUGUUUGAGCGGCAUAUGUGUCUGAAUAAGUGAUGCCAUUUCAGUUCAGCUGACAGACACAUCUUUGUUUCUUGAAUAAUUAAAAAUAUCCCUGUUUCAAAUCAAAAGUUCCUAUUAUUAUUGUUGUUGUUGUUAUUAUCAUUAUUAUUAUCAUCACAUAAGUUCACUCACACUGCAAGCAACGUGCGAGCGUGUCACUUUUGACAGGAAGUGUAUUCCACCUAGUGGCAGAAUACACUUCCUACCCUAUUCAGGACAGCACAGUCGCUCACCAUCCUAUCAUCUUCUGAAGUUUGAAUUCUUCAAAUUGCACCUACAGCUUGUUGAUAGUUGUUGGUGAAAGCAAAUUGUUACUGUGAUAUUGCAGUAGAACACAGCUACACACAGCAAUCUCAGUUUUAAUGGUCUUUACUGUUCAUAUUCCACACAGUGAUCUAAAAAAUGCAUUCACCAUUAAUAUGUCCAUUCUCCAUUAUAUCAAUUGACAGUUUGUAAUGUUUAAAGUUUUCAGAAUGCAAGAUGGGGAGCAUUUUCCACAAGUAACUGUCAGCUAUAGGUCAGUUAUUAUUAUGCCUCUUAUGGAAAUCUGAUGCAGGAAGAAAAUAAGGUUCUAAUGAUAUCCCCUUCUACGUUUGUUUGAUUAUUAUUUUUUAAUGUAUAAAACACAUUUCUUAUAUUCAGAGCCUCUAUAAAUCUAGCGUAAUAGCAGUAACCAUUCCAAUAAAUUUUUAUUGAAAUUAAAACAGGUGUAUUUUGAUUCACAUUCAAAUGCAUGAACAUUUCAGAGUUCUGAAUGACCCCCUUUCUCAAGGGCUCAGUACCUCUGAGGUUCUAGUGUACUUCACUUAUGUAUUCACUAUUAUCAUCUGU